rnacentral:rRNA from 1 species
CGAAGGCCGGCCGGUGAAUAGCCGAGUCGGUUGACGGUACCUUCAGAAGAAGCUCCGGCUAACUACGUGCCAGCAGCCGCGGUAAUACGUAGGGAGCAAGCGUUGUCCGGAAUCAUUGGGCGUAAAGCGCGCGUAGGCGGCCCGAUAAGUCCGUUGUGAAAGUCAAAGGCUCAACCUUUGAAUGCCGAUGGAUACUGUCGGGCUAGAGUCCGGAAGAGGCGAGUGGAAUUCCUGGUGUAGCGGUGGAAUGCGCAGAUAUCAGGAGGAACACCAAUAGCGAAGGCAGCUCGCUGGGACGGUACUGACGCUAAGGCGCGAAAGCGUGGGGAGCGAACAGGAUUAGAUACCCUGGUAGUCCACGCCGUAAACGAUGGGCACUAGGUGUGGGAGGUGUCGACUCCUCCCGUGCCGUCGCUAACGCACUAAGUGCCCCGCCUGGGGAGUACGGCCGCAAGGCUAAAACUCAAAGGAAUUGACGGGGGCCCGCACAAGCAGCGGAGCAUGUGGUUUAAUUCGACGCAACGCGAAGAACCUUACCUGGGCUUGACAUGUUCGUGACCGCCGUGGAAACACGGUUUUCCUUCGGGACACGAUCACAGGUGGUGCAUGGCUGUCGUCAG